rnacentral:rRNA from 1 species
AUUGAACGCUGGCGGCAUGCCUUACACAUGCAAGUCGAACGGCAGCACGGGAGCAAUCCUGGUGGCGAGUGGCGAACGGGUGAGUAAUAUAUCGGAACGUGCCUAGUAGUGGGGGACAACCAGUCGAAAGAUUGGCUAAUACCGCAUACGCACUCUGGCGGAAAGUGGGGGAUCGCAAGACCUCACGCUAUUAGAGCGGCCGAUAUCAGAUUAGGUAGUUGGUGGGGUAAAAGCCUACCAAGCCAACGAUCUGUAGCUGGUCUGAGAGGACGACCAGCCACACUGGGACUGAGACACGGCCCAGACUCCUACGGGAGGCAACAGUGGGGAAUUUUGGACAAUGGGCGCAAGCCUGAUCCAGCCAUGCCGCGUGUGGGAAGAAGGCCUUCGGGUUGUAAACCACUCUUGUCAGGGAAGAAACGGCUUUGGUUAAUACCUGGAGCUAAUGACGGUACCUGAAGAAUAAGCACCGGCUAACUACGUGCCAGCCGCCGCCGUAC